UACGGGGGGGAGCAAGCGUUGUUCGGAUUUACUGGGCGUAAAGGGCGCGUAGGCGGUCAGCACAAGUCAGUUGUGAAAUCUCCGGGCUUAACUCGGAAAGGUCAACUGAUACUGUGCGACUAGAGUGCAGAAGGGGCAACUGGAAUUCGUCGGUGUAGCGGUGAAAUGCGUAGAUAUCGAGAGGAACACCUGCGGCGAAGGCGGGUUGCUGGGCUGACACUGACGCUGAUGCGCGAAAGCCAGGGGAGCGAACGGG
rnacentral:rRNA from 1 species